UCCCUUAUGACUCAGCUGGUAAAGAAUCUGCCUGCAAUGCAGGAGACCUGGGUUCGAUCCUGGUUGGGAAG
rnacentral:tRNA from 1 species